UACGUAGGGGGCAAGCGUUGUCCGGAAUCAUUGGGCGUAAAGCGCGCGUAGGCGGCCAGAUAAGUCCGGUGUGAAAGUCACAGGCUCAACCUGUGAAUGCCGCUGGAAACUGUCUGGCUUGAGUCCGGAAGGGGCGAGUGGAAUUCCUGGUGUAGCGGUGAAAUGCGCAGAUAUCAGGAGGAACACCAAUGGCGAAGGCAGCUCGCUGGAACGGUACUGACGCUGAGGCGCGAAAGCUAGGGUAGCAAACGGG
rnacentral:rRNA from 1 species